rnacentral:lncRNA from 1 species
UGAGAAAUCCCCUUUUCAUGUGUAGAAAUAGCAGCUGAAAUUCUCGUAAGCAUCCACUCAGCUGUGAGAUAUAGUAAAUAAUGAAGAUAGAAUAGUAAUCAUAAUCUCAUAAGCAGAGUAUUCAGUAUCAACAAUACCCUCUUCAUGACAGAGAGGAACAAAAUUAAAACAACACAACCAGAUCCAUCCAGAGACAAAAGAAUCAAAAAAAACAAAAGAAAGAAACUGAUGCAAAGUAGUCGCGAACAAAAAGUCUGUCUGUCUGUCUCCCUGAUCUCUCUCUCUCUCUCUCUCUAAAGUAACAGCCACAAGAAAGAUGCACAUCCAAGUCCCAUCAUCCCAACCAUCGUCUUCUCUACUCCACUCUGCAACAAAUUAACCACCCGUCAGCACAUUCGAUAUUACAUUAUUACCAUUACCAGAUGUUGGGCUGUGCCAGCCCAACGGGCUCAUAUUCGGAAUGUUUGUUCAAAGCCCACUGAUGGCAUAUGCAACUUUAUCCAACGUUUCACCACUCAAUUUUUUUUUCUUCUCAAAUUUUCCGCAGAUCUAACAAAAUUUAAUUGUUCUGAUUAGCCCUUUAAUUUAAUAAUAAAAUAAAUAAAGUAGUAACACUCCUUGGAUUCUACGUCUCUUACUCACUGUAUCUCAAAACCUAAAGGAAUUUUUUAAUGUAAAAACGUGACAGCUCUACCUAGUGUGUCACGUGCAGCUUACAGAAAUGAAAAGCCACUUUCCGAUUUUCCUUAGUCCCCUAAACCAUCUGACAUCCACGCGCUGGAUUCAUCUAUUACGACAACACGCGCCGCUUUAGAAUGAGAUCCAAGAUCAGGUCAAACUUAUGAUACAAGAUCUGUUUUACUGUUUGUUCUCUAAUUAGGACCGACCAAACUAAUUAACAUUCACAUUUCCUUACUCUAAUUAGGUCUUUAAUCUCAAUUACUAAUGGUAAAUAGUAAGGAUAAAGAAAACGACGACGUACCAUAUCAGAACCGGUGCCGGCUGGUCCAGGAGCAGAAGCGCCCAAGCUAGGGGAAGGAGCUCCGGUGGGAGGAGCGGGCGGGCUUGAUCCCAGAGGCGAAGGAGCGGAAGCCGGAGACUUCACCUUCUUGGACGGAGCCGGAGCUGGGACCGAAGCAGGUGGAGAUGCCAGGGGAGCUGGUGGCGGGGUUGCCGGAGGAGGAGUGGCUGGCGGUGGGGUUGCCGGAGGAGGAGUUGCAGGUGGUGGAGUGGCGACCGGAGGUGGAGUUGAUGGUGGAGGGGAAGCAGGUGGGGGAGUAGCAGCAACCGGCGGAGGUGUGCUGACUGGAGGAGGAGUUGAUGGAGGUGGGGCGGAGACUGGAGGAGGAGAGGCCGCCGGAGGAGGGGAGGAAGUCGGGGGAGGAGUGGUGCUCACCGGAGGAGCGGCGGUCGGGGUGGUGGGAGUGGGUGGAGCCGGGGUGGCGGUAGGAGAAGCAGCCGGAGAUUGAGCGCCGACGCCGGCGAUGACAAUGCAGAUGAGAGAGAGGACGACCAAAGCUGAUGGACUCUUCAUCUUGCGCCGAUCUAGUUUCCUCUCUCUUCUUUCUUUUCUUCUCGUAAAACUACAAACAGAGAAAGAUAGAGAGAGAGAGAGAGAGAGAGAGAGGAGUGAGGGGGGAAAGAGAGUGAGAAAUCAAACGGGAAUAAAUAGUGGUGGAUAAAUUAAGAA